UUAUCUCAGCAGGAAGCCACACUGCUGGGCUGUUUCUUCAGCCAGCUUGAGAAAACACCUUGGGGCUGGCCUUUCAGGCCAGCCUUCUGCCCAGGAGGUGGCUGGCUCAGGACCCUUGCUGGGGCUGAGGUCUCAGAUAGCCUCGGCUGGAGUCAAAAUAAGUCAAGGAUGACCUUGAAGUUCCGAUCUUCCUGACAGCCCCUCCCGGGGCUGGGAUUACAGAGUGCAGCUUAGCUGGCAGACACCGUCCAGAAAUCAGCUUCCGACUACAAGCUCCUCCAAAAGUGAUCUACACCAUCCCAGCCCCAGGAGAUCAUUAGGAACAACUUGUUAUCAUGUUCUGCUCCUGUAACCCUGCCUAUUUUACCUAGCAAAUCCCCCAUUUGGAAACCCCCUACCCUUGAGCUAUAAAAUCCUUGUCUUCCUCAUAUCCAGUGCUGACCUCUCUAACCCUGCCUUAGGGGGAGGCAGCCU